CCCUUAGAUGUUCUGGGCUGCACGCGCGCUACACUGAUGCACUCAACGAGUUUACGACCUUGCCCGAUAGGGUUGGGUAAUCUUUUUAAAAUGCAUCGUGAUGGGGAUAGAUUAUUGCAAUUAUUAAUCUUCAACGAGGAAUUCCUAGUAAGCGCGAGUCAUCAGCUCGUGCUGAUUACGUCCCUACCCUUUGUACACACCGCCCGUCGCUCCUACCGAUUGAGUGCUCAGGUGAAUAAUUCGGACUGCAGCAAUGUUUGGAUCCCGAACGUUGCAGCGGAAAGUUUAGUGAACCUUAUCACUUAGAGGAAGGAGAAGUCGUAACA
rnacentral:rRNA from 1 species